rnacentral:lncRNA from 13 species
CCACACCCAGCUAAUUUUGUAUUUUUUUCUAGAGAUGGGAUUUUUCCAUGUUGGCCAGGCUGGUCUCAAACUCCCGACCUCAGGUGAUCCACCUGCCUCGGCCUCCCAAAGUGCUGAGAUUACAGUUUCGAUCGUCUUGGAAAUUCCUUCUGAGCCCGAUGGUAUUCAAGGCUGUGGCAGAAAGUAAAUACCAGGCCGGCCAUGCCACGAGCCUCCAGGCAGCCUGUUCCCCACCCUGCUCUCCGGCUUUCGAUGUGCCUCCCUCUCUGCUGCUCCAGAGGUCUCAGAAGAGAGUCCCCUUAGAGGAUCUCCACACUACAGCCCCCAGAAGCCUAUCUGGUGUUUCCACCUGGGCUGUCCAGUGUCCUAAGCCAGUCAACCAAGCAGUGAAACCCAGAGAGAAGACAGCUGGAGCCAGAGGGCAGGAGCGUGGCUCACAAAAGGCCCAGCCAAGGAGCCAGAUGGUGCGUGGGAACCUGGGGUCUGUGAGGUCCCCACGCUGCCUCCUGUCUGUUCACGAGGGCGGGCUGAAGCUGAUGGCCAACACUCAUUGAGCAUCUACUGUGUGCCAUGUCCUGUGCUGAGUCAUUUAUGUGCUUUCUCUCUAGUCUUCACAGCGGUUCUGCAGGAGAGACAAUAGGACCUUACUUUACAGAGAAGGUCCUUGAGGUCAGAGGAGGAGUGAAGUCAGUGGCCGAAAGCCACCGCAGUGAGGCUGGGAGUCAGAUCCGGGUCUGUUGGAAGCCAGCGCCUACAUUCUUCUUGCCACCUCACCAGGGCUUUACAUCUGGAACAUGCUUUUCCUCUUCUAUACAAGGUGGGGGUCUGGGUGGAAUGGAAGAAAUGGCACAGCAUUUCUUUGGACACCUUGAUUUUGUGCGCUUCUUUCUUCUUUAUCAAAGUUGAAGAGAUUUCAGUUUUUCUUUCUCAAUUUAAAGGCAUCAACAAAUACUUGUUUAGUACAGAAAAACUGGAACACACAGUAAGUGAAAGAUGAAAACAAAUAUCCGUAAUCCC